UUACGGCAAUAUCACGUUGAAACAUCGGUUCUCAUACGAUCACUGAAGUUAAGCAACGUCAAGCUUGGUCAGUACCUAGAUGGGUGAAGUCUUGGAAAUACCAGGUGU